ensembl:lncRNA
GUGAGUCUUCAUUUGUCUGCUCUAAGCCAACCAUGACUAUGGCCGAGGAUAACCCACAAAUACUUAAUUCGUUAUCUGCGCCAAAAUAUUUGACUCAUAUGAAGAAAACCAUCAUUAGAUUAUCGUCGAUGAAUAAAAACAAAGUGACAGGAAUUAUAAAGGGGACUGGGGAGGAGGAAAAAGAUCCUGCAGGCUCUCUGGGAAUAAUAAAUCUAUUUUAUAUUUUAGAUAAAUUGAUUAGCCAGCAGCUGCUUCCCAUCGUUCUGCUGCCCUUCAUCGUGCACUGGCCCUUCACCUUCUUCUCUAGGUUUACUUCCAGACUCAUCCAGCACAGGCAGGGGACGUUGGAGUCAUCGUAUCCUUCACCUGGAAUCACCAGCUGUCAACAUCUUCCCAUGUGCGGCCCUCUCCCUCUCUGCUCUCCCCACGUGAACGCACAGCCCAUAUUUCUUUCGGCUGAACGACCCGGAAGAUAAUAAGGACGGGUCCUCCCAGUGGAACGAGAUCCUUGCCAACUUGCCCAUGUGAGCCUGAAAAUGUGAUACAUGAAUCGUAAAGCCUUAAUGUAUUGAGGACUGCAGAUAAGUACGUGUCCGUGUGGUGUAGUUCGAAGUUUAAGCUGAAGGAGGAACACAGUGAUUAUAGAUCACAGCUGUGACCCUGCAGAGAGUCUUGGGUAUCCAGAGUCAUGUUUGGAGAAAACAGACCGCAUGAGCUGAAGAGAGAACAAAUGCGAGUGUUUCCGGGUUUAUGGUGAUUAUGUCACAAAAGACAGAAAGGGAAGAGACAUGGAAGCCCUGGAGCAGGAGCACUUCCACAUAUCCUUCUGAUGCCCAUUCACAACCUCUCAAAAUGUGCUUUAAACCAGUUCUACUGAAACUUAUAUUGUUUUCAUUAACUAGGGGGUUAUCAAAUGUUUAAAAUUUGUAUAAAACUGGAUUAAUAAACCAAGCAAGGCAAACUGAAGGAGAAUCCACUGUGACAUGACAAGUUUCAGGCUAGCAAUGAACUCUCACUUCCCAGAACCCUAAAGAUCACGGAAACUGUCUGAACGUCUGCUCUCCGCUGCAGUCACCCAGGGAGCCUCAAAAGAGCCUGCUGACUGAGUCUCCCCCAGAAAUUGUGCUGUUAUCGGUCUGAAAGGAAGCCCUAGUCAUUGUGAUUUAAAAAAAAAAAAAAUACCCCAGAUGAUUAUACUAUGGAACCAAAACUGGAUCAUUGAUGUGGUCUCAACAUUUGCCGGUCUCUACCGACUGGAAGACAUAAAUGCGUAACUUUUUGGUACUAUUUUUCCAGGGACAGAGAGAUCACCUUUUACUUAAGGACGCAUAGAAGGGAGCAAGAAGGCUGGAAGAAGAUAUAAAAGAAUCUCACCAGCAUCUGAAUAUCCUCACCUUCCUCGCUUGAGGGUGUAUGUUUUGUGCACUCGAUUUCUGGAUAGUUUGAACUGCAGAAUGGGAGGAAUGGGUAAGAAGAAAGAAAAACUGAUGAACAAGAAGGAUGCAGGAGAAGGAGGUUGUUUAGGACAACUCAUGGUAGCUAAACCUUGGAAGCAGGCUCUAUGGCCACCAACAGAUGAACAACAGUACUACUCUGUCACAAAGAAGGAUGAACUUGAGUAAUUGGUAGGCAAAUGGAU